UACGUAGGGGGCAAGCGUUGUCCGGAUUUAUUGGGUUUAAAGGGUGCGUAGGUGGCCUUAUAAGUCAGUGGUGAAAGCCUGCAGCUUAACUGUAGGACUGCCAUUGAUACUGUAGGGCUUGAGUACUGAUGAGGUAGGCGGAAUUGAUAGUGUAGCGGUGAAAUGCAUAGAUAUUAUCAAGAACACCGAUUGCGAAGGCAGCUUACUAAGGAGUUACUGACACUGAGGCACGAAAGCGUGGGGAUCAAACAGG
rnacentral:rRNA from 1 species